UUAUACUCAUUAUAUACAAAAUUUGAAUGACGCGGGUGCGCCGUAAAAGUUCUUAUGUUGGCAGAUAGAGUGCGUACAGUUAGAUCACGCGGCACAGUAUUGCAGUUCAUAUUGUUCGUGUGCGCGCGUCUCUCAGUCGUUGCACCAAGAAAAUAUUCAACCAAGAUUACAUAUGAAGACUACAUUCUAUGACAGGUGCGUUGACCUAUACACAUCGUGUCGUUAUCACAGUUCAUAUUCAUCUGCUGCACAAUAAUUUUUUACAGAUCAGACGUGACCCGCCGAGUAAUUGGUCCACGUGCAGUUCGUUUUUUACAUUCCGUGGAAGCUUGGUUGUAGAACCUCGGACGGCACAUAGCUGGCGUCGAUCCUAGGACAGUCCAGGUAAGAGUGUCCGUCACAUUUCGAGAACAUUUCAUUCCCUGAAGUUCCAACCAAAAUUCUUCCACCCGUCGUGUUGUUUUCUGGACAGGCACU